UAAAAGGCAUCUGGUGGCCUUUGGUUUUUACCUUUGGCUCUGCUGUCAUGGUCGCUGGUAAAGGUUGCCACUGCUGGGGAUGAGCAGAGAGUAGGAAGCCGUCUCCCCAAGGUCGCAGGAGACAAAGCGGUUUUCCCUUCGUGAGUAGCGCAGUGAUGGCGAGCGGGUGUGGGUGGAGGACUGGCUGAUGUUGGAGAUGAUGGAGACACUGUCCAUGGCCUCCUCGUUGUCACAGAUCUCUAGCACCUCAAGGUGGAUCUUCACGUUGGUGUCCCCCACACCAGAUCCGAUGCCCAUCCCCAGUCCAAUCCCCACGCCCAUCCCUACACUGCUGACAUUCACGUCUCCAGCCUUGCCUCCUGAUGAUGACUCGUCUGCACUGGGCUCGUGGCCAACUGAUUUGGAGCGAUACACCUCCACCUUUGAAGCAGAUUUAUAAUCCAAGUUAUUUAUAAAAAGUAUGGGGUCACAAUGCAAUUCAUUCUUUAUCUUACAUAUCUGCCCAAGUUGUCAAUGGGACAUUAACAAAACCUAUGUGAACUAGUAGGUACAAUAGAAGACAAUUGUUAAAGGAAUAGUUUGACAUUUUGGGAAUUACACUUGAGACGGCUGUAUGUCUGACUCUGCAAAAUAAAUCAAAUGAUUGAGUCAGAUAUACACAACUUCUGUACUUGCACUGACAUAAGAAUGAUAUCAAUCCUUUUAUCUGACAUACAGCAAGAAAGCAAUACGCAUAUUUCAUUAUCAUUUAUAUUAAUAAGUACGGUCCAUUUUGAUGGUUAUUACCUUCUUGGCAUUGUUGGGGGAGAUUUUGAGUCCGUCACUGCAGACUUCAUAGGUGGAAAGAGAGAGGGUCUUCCCAGUUGGGGCUUGCAGAGAUACGGUGCCCUGAAAGGCGCACAGGGGUAUUGACAGACCACCUGAUGACCGCUGCAUAAAAACAAAACGAAAACGCAAGAAAAAGUUCAGUGAAUAUCCAGCGCAACAUCUUUAUUUAUGUAUUAACUUGGUCCCAUUAGUCGAGAAUAAUAUUAUGCAUUUUACAAAAUUCCAUAUGGCUGCUUAUCAUGUAAUUGAGAAGAAAAACAAAGAAAAAUGUUUCUUUUGUUCAAACUAAUUGAGCUUAGACCGUGUCCUUGAUGUCAAUGGCAGGGAGAUCUAUGUGUCGACCAACCAUUUCAAUCAAAAAGUUAAAUAUGGUUAGCCUUGUCAUUGCUGCUUGGUAGAAUAAAGAUUUGUUAGGCGCACAGCAGAAAGCUGUAUACAAUUCAUGAGCCAUUUAGCCAUUGUCAGAAAUGUUAUUCUUACUAAUUGAAUUUUAAUAACAUUUCAGUGUAUUAAACAUUAAUCAAAUUUC